AUGGACCACGCGUCCACUGCGGUUCUGAGCGCGCCGUCCGCGCCCACCUGACACCUUGGUUGUUCGCC
rnacentral:sRNA from 2 species